rnacentral:rRNA from 1 species
AUUGAACGCUGGCGGCGUGCCUAACACAUGCAAGUCGAGCGGUAACAGGUGUAGCAAUACAUGCUGACGAGCGGCGGACGGGUGAGUAACGCUUGGGAAUCUGCCUAUUAGUGGGGGACAACCCGGGAAACGUCGGCGUAAUACCGCCAUACGCUCUACGGAGGAAAGACCGGGGACCGGCAAGGCCUGGCGCUAAUAGA